AAUACAAAUAAAGCUCAGCAUAUGCAUCAUAAAGAGCCUCUGAUAAAAUAUAGGCAGUUGACAAUUCAAAAGAGGUAGGCAUUUCAUCAACUUACCUCCACAUAUACUCAACAACCUGCAGUGCAAAUGAACGGUGGCUAUCACUGUCGAAGCGGUGCUUGGAACUAAACAAGCCUCCACAACCCGGAAAUAGACCGAAAGAAAGCGUACAACGGCACCCUAUGGGAGUGUCGCAACUCUUAUUAUCUCUUGGGCUCUGAUUCAACUCUUACACUCGCCCAGCCUGCCGCCUCCCCGUACCGUGGAUCUGCGCCUGCGUAGUGCGCCCCAACCCGGGAGAUGGAGAGCAACUGCUCCAGAGAACCUAACCGGAGGAAAACACCGAGCACACACCGGAGCUCGCCGGACACCCGGCGGGACCAGCGUCGGCCGAAGGGUCGGGGUGGGAGCACCGGGAGCCCGACUGUCUGUCUGCCUGCAGACGGUGAGACACAGCGGGACGAAGCGGCAGCAACGCUGCUCCUCACGACGGGGAAACACUGAAUCACUGCUGCAGUCAUCGCUGCGCCUUAAAUCCUGCUUUUUCUCUACGGACAUUUGAAUGGAAGGUGAGUUCAACCAGCCGAGGCAGCGGGCCUGCAGAGGACGAUCGGUGUCCUCAGCGUCUGCCUUCAUCAUAUCCUCCUAUCUGUCCCACUGUUUAUCCUCCUGUCCUCAUGGUGUCAGUCCUUCACCUGACAGGCUGAACCCAGGCACAGCAGCACGAAAGAGAAGAGACAUUGUGUGGACAUAACGUUUCCUGUGAAACCUUUGCAUCAAACAUCUGGAGGACAUACAGGGACAAAUAAAACAUCUGGAGGAUUAAAGAGACAAAUAAAACAUCUGGAGGACUACAAAGACAAAAAAAAACAUCUGGAGGACUACAAAGACAAACAUCUGGAGGACAUACAGAGACAAAUAAAACACCUGGAGAACGUAAAACACCUGGAGGACAUACAGAAGACACUGAGGGACAAAGCUGGACAUUUUGAGGUGGGAAACGCACAGAAACAAUUUUUCAGGACAUAAAGACAGACUUUCAGGGACAUAAACAGACAUUAGAAAUUCAAAAUACUGAGAAAUUACUGAACAGGUGAAGGACAAAGAGAAAGUAACAUUUUAGGACAAAAGGAGACAUAUACAGUGCCUUGCGAAAGUAUUCGGCCCCCUUGAACUUUUCAACCUUUCGCCACAUUUCAGAUAUGAAAUUUUAAUUUUUUGUCAAGAAUCAAAAAAAUUGGGACACAAUCAUGAAGUGGAAUGAAAUUUAUUGGAUAUUUUAUAUUUUUUUUAACAAAAACCUGAAAAGUGGGGUGUGCAAUAUUAUUCGGCCCCUUUACUUUCAGUGCAGCAAACUCACUCCAGAAGUUCAGUGAGGAUCUCUGAAUGAUCCAAUGUUGUCCUAAAUGACUGAUGAUGAUAAAUAAAAUCCACCUGUGUGUAAUCAAGUCUCCGUAUAAAUGUACCUGCUCUGCGAUAGUCUCAGGGUUCUGUUUAAAGUGCAGAGAGCAUCAUGAAGACCAAGGAACACACCAGGCAGGUCCCAGAUACUGUUGUGGAGAAGUUUAAAGCCGGAUUUGGAUACAAAAAAAUUUCCCAAGCUUUAAACAUCUCAAGGAGCACUGUGCAAGCAAUCAUAUUGAAAUGGAAGGAGUAUCAAACCACUGCAAAUCUACCAAGACCCGGCCGUCCCUCUAAACUUUCACCUGGAACAAGGAGAAGACUGAUCAGAGAUGCAGCCAAGAGGCCCAUGAUCACUCUGGAUGAACUGCAGAGAUCUACAGCUGAGGUGGGAGAGUCUGUCCAUAGGACAACAAUCAGUGGUACACUGCACAAAUCUGGCCUUUAUGGAAGAGUGGCAAGAAGAAAGCCAUUUCUCAAAGAUAUCCAUAAAAAGUCUCGUUUGAAGUUUGCCACAAGCCACCUGGGAGACACACCAAACAUGUGGAAGAAGGUGCUCUGGUCAGAUGAAACCAAAAUGGAACUUUUUGGCCACAAUGCAAAACCAUAUGUUUGGCGUAAAAGCAACACAGCUCAUCACCCUGAACACACCAUCCCCACUGUCAAACAUGGUGGUGGCAGCCUCAUGGUUUGGGCCUGCUUUUCUUCAGCAGGGACAGGGAAGAUGGUUCAAAUUGAUGGGAAGAUGAAUGGAGCCAAAUACAGGAGCAUUCUGGAAGAAAACCUGUUGGAGUCUGCUAAAGACCUGAGACUGGGACGGAGAUUUAUCUUCCAACAGGACAAUGAUCCAAAACAUAAAGCCAAAUCUACAAUGGAAUGGUUCACAAAUAAACGUAUCCAGGUGUUAGAAUGGCCAAGUCAAAGUCCAGACCUGAAUCCAAUGGAGAAUCUGUGGGCAGAGCUGAAGACUGCUGUUCAAACGCUCUCCAUCCAACCUCACUGAGCUCCAGCUGUGAAAGACAUCCUGUUUGGUAGAUGAGUUUAGUUGAAGGACAGUCUGUGAGGACAUGUGGAGGACAAGAAUGAGACAGCAGGACGCUGCUGUCGUCGGGAGGACAGAAUGAGAGUGUUGUUGGUCUGAAGGACGUUAUUUUUCCUUGCCCACAGUUUGGAUGUGACGAGGACUGAGAGAACAACAUGACGUCCCCGAAGUGGACCCGGCUCUCCGUCCUGUCGGUCCUGGUGCUGAUCCUGUGUCGGCAGCCUGCUCUGACAGGACCAUGGUAUCAGAGGAAUAUGUGGGCGCCACAGUGAACGCCACGGUGUUGGAUGGACGAGGAAACACCGUCCACAUGAUGAGCAGCGAUGAGGGGACGUAUGGACAGAACCCCCCAGAGUGUUUGCCCUCUGAGGUGUCAGAUUACAGUCAAACGUCCAAGGACACUGCAGCUGUUGGAGCUUCGUUUGUCUGCAGUCGUCUUGAUGCGCUUCUGCCUGUUCACAUCAAUAGCUGGGUUUCCAUUACCCUUAGAUUUGCGCAAAAUGUAAAUAGCGCAAAAAAAAAACUGGUAAUGGAAACACCUGAAUUUCAAAAAAGGACUAAAAUAUUGCAAAAAAGUUUUUACGCUCUCAUGAGGUGGUUUUUCAGACGUUUCGAUAUUGAAAAAUAUCGCAAAAGCGCAAUGGAAACACUUUUUCCGCAAUUAUACAUCACCGGAUGUGACGUACCUGGUCACAUGACCAGUUCUCUCGGCGUAAACAUGGCGCGGUGCGUGUGGACAGAAGAGGAGACCGAGACGUUUUUUAACAUUAUUUUUGAGAAAAACAUCACUGUCAUACUUGACAGCAAACAGCAGAGGAAUGCAGAGUUUUAUAAGGAGAUAGAAGCGGAAAUGAGGGAGAAAGGAUUCGACAAGCCUUGGCAGCAAAUGGAAAACUCUAAAGCAACGCUACCUAGCAGAACGACGCCUAUUGUGCAAAAGCGGAGCCGGGGGGAAGGCAAAGAUUAAGUUUAAGUACUUCGAUGCCAUGAACAGAAUUUUGGGACAUCGCCCCCAUCUUGCAAGCAGUGUCCUCAACAAUUAACAGUAUGGAAGCUGAAGCAGACGGCAAGGAACCAAAUCGGGAGACUUCUACGGAUUCGGAGGGAUCAUUUGAUGUCUUGCCCUCAUCACCCCAUGAUGACACUUGAUGUGUCAGAGAUGAGGGAGAUUCAUCCCAGCCUCCAGCCCCACCUCAAGAAACAUGGAGACGGCCAAAGAAGCGUCGACCCUCAGCUUCAUCACUGCACAUGAGCAAGAUGAGAGAACAAGCAAAACAGGAUCAGGCCACCCUCUCUACAAUUUCUGAGGUGCUCAGCCGAACAAUUCAGUGUUUUGAGAGGGCAAAAGAGGUGGCAGAGCGCCAUGCUCGUGCUCUGGAAGCGAUUGCUGAAGCACGGCCCCCUUUCCCCCAACAAACACCUCCAGCAUAUACUUCCUACUAACAAGAGUAGGAAGUAUAUGCCACCACCUCAAUCGCAUCGCCAGCAGCAGCCUCCUCCUGCCUCUUCCCAAGACCAUCCCCAUUCUUACAGAACAUACCGCAGUUUGUAGGUCUAAGUUCCCACAUUGCCAGGUUCAUUAGUUUGAUGAUAUUAUUAGUAUCUGUUUACAAUUAAUUUCAUCAUGUUCUAAGUUAGUCCACAGAAUUAAAAAAACAUUUUAACUGAUGUGUCACUUUACAAAAACAGCCUCAAGUUUUGAUUGCUGUUAUGUUUUUUGUUUUUAAUGGCAGCACAUACAAAGGACAUUGAAAAGGCACUUUUUGAAGUCAGACAGUAAAAAAUAUUCUUUCAGAGAAUUUUGAAACAAGCUUUAAAAAAAUGUAGCUGUUGCUGUGGUGCUCAUGUUUUUCUGUGAAAUCUCAGGUUAUAUAUGGAGACUUUUUUUAAUCUCUGAAAAGCACUUUAUAAGACAAAAAUGUUUUGACAAUUCUGUGUGAAAGCACACCUUAAACUUGAAAUAAACUAUUGUUCUAUG